rnacentral:rRNA from 1 species
GAUGAACGCUGGCGGCGUGCCUAAUACAUGCAAGUCGAGCGAACAGACGAGGAGCUUGCUCUUCUGACGUUAGCGGCGGACGGGUGAGUAACACGUGAAUAACCUACCUAUAAGACUGGGAUAACUUCGGGAAACCGGAGCUAAUACCGGAUAAUAUAUUGAACCGCAUGGUUCAAUAGUGAAAGACGGUUUUGCUGUCACUUAUAGAUGGAUCCGCGCCGCAUUAGCUAGUUGGUAAGGUAACGGCUUACCAAGGCAACGAUGCGUAGCCGACCUGAGAGGGUGAUCGGCCACACUGGAACUGAGACACGGUCCAGACUCCUACGGGAGGCAGCAGUAGGGAAUCUUCCGCAAUGGGCGAAAGCCUGACGGAGCAACGCCGCGUGAGUGAUGAAGGUCUUCGGAUCGUAAAACUCUGUUAUUAGGGAAGAACAAAUGUGUAAGUAACUAUGCACGUCUUGACGGUACCUAAUCAGAAAGCCACGGCUAACUACGUG